CUCCCUAGAAGCAACAUUAUUUUUCCUUUCUCCUGAAGAAUAUUUAUCAUGCUUCGACUUCUCCCUAUUCUUGAUUCUUUCCAGAUUGUCAUUUUCUCCAGAUUUCAGGUCAGACAGGCCACUGGAUGUUUGCUCUUUGUAUUUCAGGUCCUUGUGGUGUCUCUUGUCUCUUGGUUUCUCCCUGUCACCUGAUUCAUCAUCCAAAUCCUGCUGUGUUUUAUCAUAAUUUGACCUCUCCUUGUGCUUGAGGUCCUGGUGCUGUCUCUUGUCUCUUGGUCUCUCCCUGUCACCUGAUUCAUUGUCCAAGUCUUGCUGUGUUUUAUCAUAAUUUGACCUCUCCUUGUGCUUCAGGUCCUGGUGCUGUCUCUUGUCUCUUGGUCUCUCCCUGUCACCUGAUUCAUCGUCCCAAUCUUGCUGUGUUUUAUCAUAAUUUGACCUCUCCUUGUGCUUCAGGUCCUGGUGCUGUCUCUUGUCUCUUGGUCUCUCCCUGUCACCUGAUUCAUCGUCCGAAUCUUGCUGUGUUUUAUCAUAAUUUGACCUCUCCUUGUGCUUCAGGUCCUUGUGGUGUCUCUUGUCUCUUGGUCUCUCCCUGUCACCUGAUUCAUCAUCCAAAUCUUGCUGCGUUUUAUCAUAAUUUGACCUCUCCUUGUGCUUCAGGUCCUUGUGGUGUCUCUUGUCUCUUGGUCUCUCCCUGUCACCUGAUUCAUUGUCCAAAUCUUGCUGUGUUUUAUCAUAAUUUGACCUCUCCUUGUGAUUCAGUUCCUUGUGGUGUUUCUUCCUUUUUAAUCUUCCCCUUUCACCUGAUUCAUCUUCUGAAUCUGUUGGUGCUUUUUCCUCAUAAUUUGACCUCUUAUGGCUACCAUCCUUUCUUCUUUCUUCUUCAGGAGUGACAUUUUCAGAUUGGUGUCUCGAUGAAGAAUGCGUGUGAUGCUUUGAACUCUUGUGAUGAA
rnacentral:lncRNA from 1 species